rnacentral:rRNA from 1 species
GAACCCCGGCGAGGGGAGUGAAAAAGAACCUGAAACCGUGUACGUACAAGCAGUGGGAGCACCCUUCGGGGUGUGACUGCGUACCUUUUGUAUAAUGGGUCAGCGACUUAUAUUCUGUAGCAAGGUUAACCGAAUAGGGGAGCCGGAGGGAAACCGAGUCUUAAUUGGGCGUUAAGUUGCAGGGUAUAGACCCGAAACCCGGUGAUCUAGCCAUGGGCAGGUUGAAGGUUGGGUAACACUAACUGGAGGACCGAACCGACUAAUGUUGAAAAAUUAGCGGAUGACCUGUGGCUGGGGGUGAAAGGCCAAUCAAACCGGGAGAUAGCUGGUUCUCCCCGAAAGCUAUUUAGGUAGCGCCUCGUGAAUUCAUCUCCGGGGGUAGAGCACUGUUUCGGCUAGGGGGCCAUCCCGGCUUACCAACCCGAUGCAAACUGCGAAUACCGGAGAAUGUUAUCACGGGAGACACACGGCGGGUGCUAACGUCCGUCGUGAAGAGGGAAACAACCCAGACCGCCAGCUAAGGUCCCAAAGUCAUGGUUAAGUGGGAAACGAUGUGGGAAGGCCCAGACAGCCAGGAUGUUGGCUUAGAAGCAGCCAUCAUUUAAAGAAAGCGUAAUAGCUCACUGGUCGAGUCGGCCUGCGCGGAAGAUGUAACGGGGCUAAACCAUGCACCGAAGCUGCGGCAGCGACGCUGAUGCGUUGUUGGGUAGGGGAGCGUUCUGUAAGCCUGCGAAGGUGGCCUGUGAGGGUUGC